UGGCCCCACCUCCCAAUAUUUAUUUAAUUAAGCACACAGCAGCCUUAGCCCUCAGCACUGGACAGAAGGGGAAGAAGACAGACCCAAGUGGAACUCCAAUGAGGGGUGUCAUUUUGGUUUCAGAGGCCUGAGCUAUGGGGUGCACAGGAGGCAGGUAAGAGCGUCAUUUGAUGUCUUGACUGCUGCUUUCAUGGGCAUUGAUUGUGG